CAUGUAGGCGGAUUGAUAAGUUUGAAGUGAAAUCCUAUAGCUUAACUAUAGAACUGCUUUGAAGCUGUUAAUCUAGAAUGUGGGAGAGGUAGAUGGAAUUUCUGGUGUAGGGUAAAAUCCGUAGAGAUCAGAAGGAAUACCGAUUGCGAAGGCGAUCUACUGGAACAUUAUUGACGCUGAGAUGCGAAAGCGUGGGGAGCAAACA
rnacentral:rRNA from 1 species